AAGGCUUUAAGUUAUUAUAAACUAGUAUCCUUCAAAGUUAAAAAUAAAGAGAACUUUUCUUUAAGCCUUA
rnacentral:tRNA from 1 species